AGUGUGGUGGUGGUGGUGGUGGUUAUAGUGUGGUGGUGGUGGUUAUAGUGUGGUGGUGGUUAUAGUGUGGUGGUGGUGUGGUGGUGGUUAUAGUGUGGUGGUGGUGUGGUGGUGGUUAUAGUGUGGUGGUGGUGGUGGUGGUGGUGGUGGUUAUAGUGUGGUGGUGGUUAUAGUGUGGUAGGUUAUAGUGUGGUAGGUUAUAGUGUGGUGGUGGUUAUAGUGUGGUAGGUUAUAGUGUGGUAGGUUAUAGUGUGGUAGGUUAUAGUGUGGUGGUGGUUAUAGUGUGGUGGUGGUUAUAGUGUGGUGGUGGUUAUAGUGUGGUGGUGGUUAUAGUGUGGUAGGUUAUAGUGUGGUAGGUUAUAGUGUGGUAGGUUAUAGUGUGGUGGUGGUUAUAGUGUGGUGGUGGUUAUAGUGUGGUAGGUUAUAGUGUGGUGGUGGUUAUAGUGUGGUAGGUUAUAGUGUGGUAGGUUAGUGUGGUAGGUUAUAGUGUGGUAGGUUAUAGUGUGGUGGUGGUGUGGUGGUUAUAGUGUGGUAGGUUAUAGUGUGGUAGGUUAUAGUGUGGUGGUGGUUAUAGUGUGGUGGUGGUUAUAGUGUGGUAGGUUAUAGUGUGGGAGGUUAUAGUGUGGGAGGUUAUAGUGUGGGAGGUUAUAGUGUGGGAGGUUAUAGUGUGGUAGGUUAUAGUGUGGGAGGUUAUAGUGUGGGAGGUUAUAGUGUGAGAGGUUAUAGUGUGGGAGGUUAUAGUGUGGUGGUGGUUAUAGUGUGGUGGUGGUUAUAGUGUGGUGGUGGUUAUAGUGUGGUGGUGGUUAUAGUGUGGUGGUGGUUAUAGUGUGGUAGGUUGUAGUGUAGUAGGUUAUAGUGUAGUAGGUUAUAGUGUAGUAGGUUAUAGUGUGGUAGGUUAUAGUGUGGUGGUGGUUAUAGUGUGGUGGUGGUUAUAGUGUGGUAGGUUAUAGUGUGGGAGGUUAUAGUGUGGGAGGUUAUAGUGUGUAGGUUAUAGUGUGGUGGUUAUAGGCGAGUGGUCGGAGAUUGUAGGUAGGUGACUGGGUUCCCCACAUAAACAAAUACUCUUUUUGGUUUUAAUUAAGAGUACAGAUUGGGAGAAUAUACAAACUCUUCUGAGAAAUGUUAUAAUUUUAUUGAGUAAAUGUAUUUAUCAGAGAGAUGAAAAUGUAAUGAAUGUAAUGUAAUGAAAUUUCAGGGUUGUGUCAUUAGAUUUGUGGGGGGGAGUGGGUUGUGAGAAAUUCUGUGGGGGGGGGAGGGGGGAAUGGGGUCCCCCACAGAAAACCACUGAAUACAACCGCUAUAGGCUAUUCAGAGCUGUGGUCGGGUCCGGUCCAUCAGCUGUAGUUACAUAGACCAGAGACCUGUGGCAAUCAAACAUGGAUCCAACCCAGACCCCAGGGACAAUUUUAGACUCAGACAGUUCCGGAGUCGGGUCUCAGAUAUUGGGGAAGACCUGUGAAGACCUCAGUGUGUGUGUGUGUGUAGCUAGAUGUUAUUG